rnacentral:rRNA from 1 species
UACAGAGGGGGCAAGCGUUGUUCGGAAUUACUGGGCGUAAAGGGCGCGUAGGCGGCCCGUCAAGUCGAACGUGAAAUCCCCGGGCUCAACCCGGGAACUGCGUCCGAUACUGGCGGGCUCGAAUUCGGGAGAGGGAUGCGGAAUUCCAGGUGUAGCGGUGAAAUGCGUAGAUAUCUGGAGGAACACCGGUGGCGAAGGCGGCAUCCUGGACCGAUAUUGACGCUGAGGCGCGAAAGCCAGGGGAGCAAACGGG